UGAAAAAAAUGGACUUAGUGGGUCUUUGAAUUUAAAUAAAAUAAACAUGUAUAUGCAACACAAAAUAUUUAUAUUCCUUGUGUAAACAUAAUUUAAUUGAUUAGGAUUAAAAUGUUUUGUUUGAAUGUAAAAUGAACACAUUAUUCUCACAUUGAUUAAAAUUGAUUGAAUUGAAUACUUAAAACAAUAAAAUUGGGUUUGGACACAAAAUGGCACCUCCUGAGCAGCAGGGGCAGUAUAGCUCAUUGAGAAGGACAUCGAUUGCCAUAAAAGAAGAAUAAAGAUCGUUUUUUGGGCGCCAAAAUGAAGACUAAGCACAGCAGUCACUGCCAGUCAGUCAGAAGAACUCUCUCAGACGGACACCAUGUUAUUAAAGUCCAUCAUCCUUGCAUGCGCUACACACUCAAAAGCAUUGGUAAAUGCUGAAUUUGAAAGAAUCACUACUGUCUUAUGUUCCUGCGUGUCACCUGGACCUCCAAUCCAAAAACCUGAUGAAACUCUUCUAUCAGAAAGGAGGACAGCUAGCAAAAAGGCUUCAAACAAUCAAUGAUCAAAUGACAGAAGGCAUGGAUGAAGUCAGCAUCAGUGUGGUCAUUUGAAGACACCAAUGUUGGGAUUUGUGCUCUCAAACAACCUGCUUCUUGUGAUGAAGAAGAGGAUCUUUGUAUAGUCCUGGAAGGCAUGAAGGUGUUGCAACAUCGUGCCAUGUUGUUUGAGCUGAUGUAUUCCUUAAACCUGAGCUAUCCUGAUCUCCGCUUUAUUUUUGAGGAAAUCCAAAAGAUUUUAAUGGAACUGCAUUGAGAGUAACUUUAACGAACAGUUUCUUUCAGUGAAAGGAUCAGAAAGACUGUGCUGCUCAUUUUUCAGAAAGACUGUGCUGCUCAUUUUUGACUUUGUUUAUCUGUUUUAAGUGUUUUCUCUUAUUAAUACAUUAACCGUUUGCUGCUCAGAGUCGAUUUUGGAAAUGGUUGUUGUAUUUUGUUUUUGUUGAAUCUUUGAUUAACAGUUUAUACAAAUGCUGUAGCUCUGACUUUCUGAAGGAUUGAUAUUUUCCAGUUUGUAAAUCCAUUUUAAAAAUAAUAGUACUUACUGUUUUGCAUGUCUCUUUGGAAUGCAGUGUUUGUGUUUUAGCACUUCUAAAUCUACUGUGAUAGUAACUAUUUUAAACAUUUGGGUCAGUUUCAUCCUAAUAUAACUAGGGCCUAGUCAUGAAUUAAUCUACAACCUGUUUGGGAAAUUGCCCCUUUAUGUAUGUACUGCAUGUGCUGAUUGUUGUAAUAGUUAUUGACUGUUAAUGAAUUAAUGUGUAGUGAUUUAAAUGAAUUGAUGAUCUGAAAGCAGUGGUUUGCCUCAAUAUCACUAAACAUUUGUACAAAACUCUUCACUUUUUAUGCCAAUGCAAAUGUAUUUUGUAUUUAAAAAGAAAUAAAUAACAUUUGGAUAAUUA